rnacentral:lncRNA from 10 species
GUUAGGUGUCUGAGCUCAGACUCUCCUUGGAUGGGACUUGCUGCUACUGCUGUGGGAGAUGGGAGUGUGGUUCUCAGGCCAAUUAGAGUUACCUUCCCAGGGGGAUUAUGGCUUCCACUAGUGUGUCAUGCAGGUUGCCAGGGAAGUUGGGGAAAGCUGGCAGUUACAGGCCUUACACAGCUCCCCCAAAGCAGCCCAAAAGGCCAGUCUUACUCCCACUGUGCCCCCACAACAGGACCAGGUUUGUUUCUAGGCAACAGGUGAGCAAGGCUGAGAAAGCAAGCAGGGCUUUUAGGCUUCCUGCCUCCCCGCCUGCUGCCCCACCUCCUACAGCUUCUGUGCUGUGUCUGCACUCCCAAUUCACCCCCUCCCCUGAGUUCUGUCCAGGAAACUUUGCAUUCAGUUGAAAUUAUUACGCAGUACAGCUGGAAGUUCCCUUCUCCCUGUGGUCUUUUCCCAGUUCCUCUGACAGCCAUCCCCAAGGACCUCUUCAAGACAAAGUCAGAAAUUGAUUCCCUGGGGACCGAGAGAGCCCACAGGGCUCUUCUUGCUGCUUCUUCUAUCCCUGUAUUUCACUCAGCUCUCCAAAUUUGUCUCAGCUCCAGCUGAAAGCUGACACGCAUAAUUAUUUCCUGUUAGAUACUGAAGAAAAAAAAAAGCCCAGGAGAUAUUGUCGAGACUGUUUCUGGGGUGUGAUUGGGGGAUAGGAGAUGA